UCGUCAGCAGUGCGCCGCGUGUUGUAUAAAUAAUAAAUACUGUCCACUUUAGAGCAAUAAACGGUUGUAGUUUGUACGUAGUGCGUCAAUAAGUUUAUUCAUUUGUGACCGUAUCACAUCGGUGGUUUCGUGCUUGAUCCGAAAAGUUGAUUCGCGGGUGCUUUCGCUGAAGUGCGAACCGGGAGUAUCCCACAAACCCCACCCCGUCGUAUCAAUGAAGCUGUAGCAGUCAAAACGUUUAAUGCAAGAAAUGGCGUUUAUUCAGUGAAUCGAAAUGAAUCGCCUGCUUUGAGCGUGCUUACAGCGGCACACUAGAAGCUAGGAGUUAGCUUUUAGAAAUCAGUAUGGCGAAAGGCAUCUCGAAAAUAAGCAACUUAAUAAAAAAAAACAUUUGGCAGGCGUUGUAGCAGAUACCUUCCUACAUAACGGAUCAAUCAAGUCUCCAAAAUAAAAAUAAAAAUCUCCGUGAAAGGGUAAUUUUGAUUUUGGAAGAUGUUAUUAGGUCCUAAAAGUUUUCUGGAUGUACUGGCAACUCAAAAUAAAAGGGUUCCAACGUUCCAGUGUCCGGAAUGAAUGUUGAAGCUAUAAGUUGUCAGAAAUUAGCUUCACGAAUGAACAAAUGGCGAAAAUGUCUGAAUAUUCACUCAUUGUCACGUCCUGGUUACAUCCUAACAAUUGAAGUAGGGCAUCUGAAGAUUAUUUAUUUUAAAAAAUAUAUUAAUAUAUGUCUAAUUGAAUCUAAAAUAUAAAAAAUC